rnacentral:rRNA from 1 species
CAGCACCUCAAGUGGUCAGGAUGAUUAUUGGGCCUAAAGCAUCCGAAGCCGGCGCUGUAAGUUUUCGGUUAAAUCUGUACGCUCAACGUACAGGCUGCCGGGAAUACUGCAGCGCUAGGGAGUGGGAGAGGUAGACGGUACUCGGUAGGAAGGGGUAAAAUCCUUUGAUCUAUUGAUGACCACCUGUGGCGAAGGCGGUCUACCAGAACACGUCCGACGGUGAGGGAUGAAAGCUGGGGGAGCAAACCGGAUUAGAGACCCGCGUAGUCC